GCCUACGGGGGGCAGCAGUGGGGGAUAUUGCACAAUGGGGGAAACCCUGAUGCAGCGACGCCGCGUGUGGGAAGACGGUCCUCUGGAUUGUAAACCACUGUCCCCAGGGACGAAGAUGACGGUACCUGGGGAGGAAGCUCCGGCUAACUACGUGCCAGCAGCCGCGGUAAUACGUAGGGGGCAAGCGUUAUCCGGAUUUACUGGGUGUAAAGGGAGCGUAGGCGGUUCAGCAAGUCAGAAGUGAAAGCCCGGGGCUCAACUCCGGGACUGCUUUUGAAACUGUUGAACUAGAUUGCAGGAGAGGG
rnacentral:rRNA from 1 species